rnacentral:lncRNA from 1 species
AAAAAAACAGAGCUCCUUCGCGACGAGAAGUCGCCGCCGGAAUCGAGAGGCCAAGGCCGUAGUUUGAGAGUUUAAAGGAAAAUUACUCCCGACGUUGAUUAGUCUCCGGAGGAUACUUUGUGAUAUUUUGUUGAUUCAUAGGUAGACUGUGAAGACUUGCAAAAGAUAGCCUUUUGACUUCUUUGUUCACUGUUACACGAUGAAUGACGCUCUUGUAUAUGCCGUUGCUCAUCACCUCUACCUGAUCUCCCAGCUGAACUAUCAAAGCUCCUUCUAUAUACGGCACACAAACCCAGUUUUUGUUGCAGUCCAUUAUCUGGAGUCCCUUGCUACUCUGAAGUAAGAUGGUCAGUGAGCUGAAGUCUGAGUGUGGUGGCAUUCCCAAGGCCAUUUCAGGUUCCGGGCAUGCUGGAUAACAAUUCACUGCCAUGACUUGUGAGCCUUCUUCUAUCUCUUCUUGUAAGUAAUUUUUCUCCAGUCCCAGGCUUUCUGAGAUAGCUUCUAUUAACUGCUUGUGUAGCAAAUGUGUUGCCUCUGCAUACUUGCCCACUUUAUCCCUGAAAGGUAGGUGUGAAUCAGAAAAUAAUAUCAGUUUUCACUCAAAGCUUUGUUACAACUUUUUAAAAAAGAGAGCUAGGUUUUGUAUAUAUUGAGACAGUGAAGCUGGCCUAAAAAUGUUUUACUUACUUGUAGCAUGGAGGAUUUGAUGGCCACAUAUCGAUCCACUUUGAGAGUGGAUGAGAGUAAUGCUUGAUGAAAUCUCUCCAGUAGUGAACUCUGUCUGUUGAAUGGUUAAGGCUUGUGCCAUACCUGACUGGCUCAUGAACGUUUGCAGACACCAGAAGCAUCUUCUCUUCCACAGGCCAUGCUAAUCUCGUGGAUUGCGAGGGAUCGAAGGAAAGGUUGGUGCAAAAGAGAGAGAUCAAUGACAGGAAGUGUAGUCUCGCUGGUGCCUAAGCUUGAACCAAGAGCUGGCCUUUGCGAAGGAGGAAGAACGUAGCGAUCAGGGACUUGAGGCACACCUGAAUUGGGGCAAAACUGUCUUUUCAUCAGAUCAGACUGGAUGAAUAUCGGUCGAGAUUCAUGGACCAGCACUGAAUAAGGAU